GGAAGCAAGGCUUCCAGUUCGCUCAGCCCUAGUUCAGGAAGACACUGGUGGAUUAGUAGUUAGGUGGAUGAUCACUAGCGAAUCCCCGCUGCUGUAUGU
rnacentral:rRNA from 1 species